rnacentral:lncRNA from 1 species
UCCGCCAUGGCGAGAGCCGAGACCCUCUCCACCUCAGUGAUCGACCCACCAACAAUUUCCAACUCUUCUGAUCCACCCUCGUCUUCACCAUUAAAUGUGCAUGAUCCGAUUGAGGUUCGACUUGAAACUGAUUCAGGGUCAAGGUGACGCCGGUUUGCAGACAAUAUCUCAUAAAACUCCCUUUCAAGCCUUUUCAUAGCUGUUUGCAUUAGGUUUUGAGCAAGCACGAGCUUGCUGGAUGGAGAGCUUUCAUGAACCAAAACAUGCAUAGCACUACGCAAGUCCUUUACGGAUUUGAGAAGCUGUUUGGCCUCUUUUCUGCUACUCUGGAAGAUAGACGUGAGUUUGGUGUAUGAGGAGGAGUUUGGAUCCCAUUUCGUGAUGAUGAAUUCAGCUGUUUCGAUGUUUUCCUCCAUCAUCGAAAGAGACAAGGUCGGGGAAGGUUUUGGACCGGUGGAAGUGCUUGAAGGUGUGUAAGAAGAAUGGUUUUUGACAUGCGAGAAGGAAAAGAGGCAUGACAUUCCUUUCCUUGGUGUGAGUGUAGUACUACCACUCUUCAGGUACUCGGAGAGCAUCAUUGAGCUGGGAAUGGUGUCGAGAGAGAGAGAAAGAGAGAGAGUUGAGCCGGGAAUGGUGUUGAAAGAGAGGGAGAGAGAGAGAGAGAGAGAGAGAGAGAGAGAGAGUUGAUUUUAUGGUUGUGGUUUUUGGUUCUGGAAGGGUUUUAUAGAGGAGAGCCGUCCGGUUUCCAGUUGAGGGAGGUGGAUUUGCUUAUUUGCUUGGAACCUUACUAUUUGACUGACUCUGGAUCUGAUUUUUCAAUAUAAUUAAUCAAGCAAUUUUUGCAUCAUAUUUUUAGUUUUUUUAAUUUUAAAUAUAUCAUGUUCAAUGAAUCAUAUGGUCAAGCUGCAUGCAUUCUUCUAGUUAGUCAAAUUUAAAUCCCUUUGCUUGUAUCCAAAUAUAUAGAGAUUUCGCUUUCUGUUGAAUAAUUUGAUUUAGUAGUCAAAUUGUGAAUCUGAAUUUGCUGAUUGAGUGAUAUUUUCAAUGAGCGAUCGUCUAAUUAGCAAUUUGAACUAGUAUCUGGCUUGCUCCAAAAUGCAACUGAUCGAUAUUGUUAAUUUUAGAUGAAGGUGGAGUUGUGGUCCUUUUGGAAGAGAAAAGAGCUAGGGUUGGUUCCACAACAACCGGGAAGCAACCUGGAAAGAGCGGGGUUUGAUUAGUUAAAACCAUUUUUCAAGUUUCCAGUUCGUCCAAACAAGAACCAAACUAAUUAUGACUGACUUGAUAAACUAGUGUUUACUUCUAAUGUCAUCAUUCUUCACGCGACUCAUAAAUGGACGCUUUUAGAAAGAUACCUUGCUCACCAAAAUGUUAAGAUAAAUGUUAAAAAUGGAUGAUCUGUGUAGCUAUCGGUGUGACUGUUAAUCGUUUAAUAUAUGUGAAUUCCACUUGAAUUUACUUUAGAGUUUGUUAACCAACACUCUCUCAUAGAAGUGGAUUCUUUUUUAUUUAUUUAUUUUAUGAAUAAACGAUAUUUUCUAUACUAAGGGAAUGGGAUGGGUUUAGGCUAGUAAUAAUGUGGUUCAAACCCGCAUUGGGCGAUAAUCGAACCUAAAACCUCUUCAUUACAAACGAAAAGGAAUACCACUAGAUCGUAAUAUUAAGUGGCCAUAGAAUUUGAUUCUUAAAAUAAGAAAAUAACAAAUACUUAUUUGAAAUAUAUUCCCAAAGACGGUGCAUCUUAACCAUAAAAAAAAUGUUCCUCACUAUUCCGACAAGUUCUCAAUUACGUAGAUAGGUAAGCUUAUCAAUUAUCGAUGGUGAAAGGCUAAUUAGAAUUUGUCAAAGGUAUGCACCCAUAAAUCAAAUAAUAAUUAUUAUGUGCACCUACAUUUGACUUGCAUGCAUGAUCUCUGAUCAACGGCUGAAAAUAUGAGAGAGAACCAGUCUCUGGGCUGCCACCAUUGUUAAUUAAACUUCGUUUAUAAUUAAGCAAUAAUGUUUACCAAAGCUGGCAAUGGGGUUGAUAAGAUAGAGGAUAUCAUCAGCGUGGAUUGGAGAGCUAGUUAGAUCUCCACGUACAAAUGCACGUGUAAUGGUAUGAAUUAACGAUAAGAUUGAUUUUUCAUAAAUUUUUGUGUUAUAAGUUAUAACACAAAUUAGAUUAAUAGCAUCACGUGACGUUAUUGACGAUAAUCAUAACCAAAGUCUAAAAUAUCGAUGAUAUCAGAAAUCGGUAGUCUAAAAACAUGGAAAUUUCGAUGGAAAUAUCGAGAUAUUAUCGAUAUCGAUAAAAAUUGAAUAAAAACCACGGAAAUUGUAAGAAAAACUUGGAAAUUUUUAUUGAAACUUUGCAUGAUGUUUAUUUAGUCAAUUAUCUAUUAGUUUAUCGCAAAAAAUUGGAAGGAAAUGCAUUGCAUGAUUGAUUUAACUGAUUUAAGUUGAUUAUAUAGCGAGCUGACAAACAUUGUGAGUGUAGAAAAUAUGUAGUAAUUAAUGAAAGAAGUUUAAACACACCAUAAUCAUUUAUAUAUAAUGAAUUAGUACAAUAUUUUACACUUUAUACAUUGCAUGGUAAGAUACAUGAGUAACUUAGUACCACAUAGAGUUCCUAUGAGAUUCAAAAUGUUCACUAUCUUCAUCAUCUCUAUGUGUAUAGUAAGUGUAUUUUAGCAUAUUUUCACAAAAACAUAAGUGAUAUGGUGGUCAAGGUGUUGAAUGAGUAAAAUGGGAGGGGUUCGAAUUUCCUUGGUGUUUUUUUAAAUAUAGAAAUUUAUCGUAGAUAAUAAAUAUUAACUUGCAAGCCUUGCAGACAUCUUAACAACCAUAUAAAUAUUAUAGGCUGAAUAUGUAAUCACAAACACAUAUGUAGUGAGUUGGAUAAGGCCCAUGUGCGUGGUUGGCAAAGGGAGGGGUUCGGAUUCCUCUAUGCGCAAGAUUGAGACUUUUCAGCAUUUUUCAAAUAUUUUUGGGUUUCAUCUCGCAAUAUUAUCGAUAAUAUUCUAAAAAACGCUAAGCGUUAGUCGGGCCCUAAGCGGAUUUACGUAAAAUUACUAUAUAUGUUAUAAAAUAUGAGUAUAUUUGUAAUAUUUUAGGGUUUUUUAUGUUGAUUUUGUAACAUUUACUUAGCUUACAUAUUUAAUUCAUUAUUGGACUUUGCUUUUUUUUAUUUAUUCAAAUAUUGGUCUUUGCCCUUCAAUUAAUAACAGCCUUGUUUUCUUAUAAAAAAUAAAUUUAUUCUAUAAUGCUACAGAUGAGGUAAAGAAAAGCAUUGUUUACUUAUUUCUACAGAUCUCUACCCACUUUAAUAUCUUAUCAGCCGGUGACCCUUUACACACAAACCCAGAAAAUCUCUCUCUCUCUCUAGUUUUACCAGAAACCUCUAGCAAGGCCAGAUUCAGAUGCAGAUGCAAGUUGUGAUGCAGGUGCGUCUGCGAGUCUGAUGCAAGUGCGUUUGGUGCAGAUGUUGCUGCGAGAGUUGGAGUUGCAGAUCCUAAUUCUUUAAUCUCUUUCCCUUACUCCAAAACCCAGAAUCGCCCUCUCUUUUUCGUCCCAAAGCCCAUCUGGGUCCAAAAGCCAGAGCUUUUGUUUUUCGACGAAAAUGGCGGUGGCAACGCAGGAGCGGGAGGAAACAGCGGGGGAUGGAGCCGGGGCGGAGAUGGGAACUCCGACGACUCGUCUUCGUCGUCGUCGUUAGUUUCGGGAUUCGGAGUUCUGGGUAAGUUUCUCAAUAGGUGGAGAUCCCGAGUCGCCGCCGAUCCGCAGUUCCUCUUCAAGGUUCUAAUGGAGGAGGUGGUCGGAGUCAGCUCCUGCGUCCUCGGUGACAUGGCUUCCCGGCCCCAAUUUCGGCCUCAACGAGCUCGACUUUGUCUUCUCGACUUUCGUCGUCGGAUGCAUACUCAAUAUCGCAAUAUUAUCGAUAAUAUCGCGACAUAUUGACGAUAAUUAAUUGGAUACGUAUGAAAAUAUCGUCCUCUCACAAAAACGAUAUUAUCGGCGAAAUAUCGUCGAUAAUAUCGAUAUUUUAUACAUUGAUCAUAACAGAAGACUUCUCCUUCUUGUUACCAUUUUCUGCUUAAGCAUCUGGUACAUAUAUUAAUAUUGCACCAUUACUCUCAUUCAAUUAUAUUCUAUAAUUCUAUAACAAGCCUAUUAGAGAAACUUACAUCUAACGAGUUUACCGUCAUAUGACGUUCUGGUCUAAUGAUGCAUUGUUAUGUAUUAGUUAUUUUCAAAUUAUAGACCUAAUUCCUUUGUACCGAAAUAGGGCCGGUCAUAUGACUUUGUAUAAAAAAAAAUUAUUUGUUUUCACACGUAAGAUGUCGAUAAAAUUAUACUUAGAAAAUCACUUCAAACUUAAUAAUUUAGAAACACAAAAAAACUAAUUUAUUUUGUAUUGUGAGAAUUAAACGAAAAAUCUCCAGGUUUACAAGUAGAUAUGAGUUUUGUUUUCCAUCUUAACUUUUAAAAUGUUUUUGCAUAAAUCGUGAGCUGUUUUUUCUUAUUUACUAACCUUGUCAAUAUGAGAGUAAAAAAAUAAUGAUGUUUUUGAGUCUUUAUUGAUAUGUAUAAGUAAUAAAUGGGUACUAAAUUAAACUUUUUAAUGACACGUCAUAUGAUUUGCAAUUUGAAAAAAAUUGGUCAACGCAUUACUCUUUGUUAAAGAUUAGACUUGAAUUGGAACAAAUAAGGAUAGGCAAAUACCUAUUGGAUAUGGGUAACCAUGGUUACCCGCCCAUUUAAAUUAAACGGUUACGGUUAUGGGUAACCGUUUAGAUAACUAAACGGUUAUAGGUAUAACUGCUUACCCGCGAAAUUUAAAUAGGCGGUUAUGGGUAUUAACCACGGUUAUAAACGGGUAACCGUUUACCCAUUUGUUUUAUAUAUGUAAAAUUAACACAAACCAUGCUCUCGAUCUAAUAAUACUUAGCGCCCAAUAAAUUAGCAAGGAAUUCAUCGGUCAUUCUCUCAAUAACACUGCUACAGGAAUGAUGAUUCUCAUCAUCAAGGAAUUCGCCAAAUUAAUUUAAAUUCUUUGCGGGUAACCGUGAGAUUGACAGAAAUGCUUUAAUAGAAAUGUCUUCUAAACAAUUUUUGUAACCCAAUAAUACUUAGCAAAUAUUAUAUUUACCUUCAUUGGUAACAGUUAAAAAUAUCGUCCGUAAACUAUUAUUUCAAUUAUUGGAAUAAUAUAAGAACUUAAAAAAUUAAAAUAUGGAAAUGUAUGAUGAAUGUACCUAUAACGGUGCUUUAACAAUUAAAAAUAUCGUCCGUAAACUAUUAUUGCAAUUAUUGGAAUGGUAUAAGGACUUAAAAAUUUAAAAUACGGAAAUAUAUGAUGAAUGUACCUAUAACGGUGUUUAAUUGUCAAAACAAAAAAAAUUUUGACAAUAUUUUUUUUUAAUUUUCAAGUUAUUAAAAAAAUGUAGACGGGUGAAAAAGGGGUAAUGGUAAAAAAAAAAGAAAGAAAAACGGGUUAAAAGGGGUAAAUGGAUAAACGGGUAUUAAACGGUUACGGUUAAAUGUGUAUGCGGCUAUGGGUAUGGUUAAUCGUUUAUAAACGGUUAUGGGUAUAGUUAUAACCGUUUAGGCAAUUACCCAAUGGGUAAACAGUUAUGCGGGUAUGAGCAUAAACGGUUAUGGGUAAAUAAUCGCAGUUACUUGCCCGCCAUAACCAUUGCCCAUCCCUAGGAACAAAUGUUUAAAAAUAACAACCCACAUAGCUAAUAACUACUAAUUAAAAUUAAAUUAUCAACCAAACAAAAAUUCGUAAAAAUUGAAAAGAAUAAACAUGGACUUAACAUUUCGAACUUAGGACCUCUCGUUAAUUUUAAACAACAAAAACCAUUGAUUUUAAUUAAACUUCUUGAUCAUUUAGCCAAAUUGUAUAAAUUUAUAUUCUUAUGAAAAGAAAUUUGUAAAAAUUGAAAGGUAAAUAAGCACCUAUGAUGUUUUAAACCCAAGAUCUCCUCAUUAAUUUCAAACAACAAAACCACUAGUUCUAGUUACAUUUCUUUGUCAUUGAACCAAAUUUUAUAAAUUUAUACUCUUAUGAAAACAUAUAUAAAUAUACCACCCUAAUAAUUGGUGCCCCUAAUUUUUUUGAAUCCUGGACGGUCGCCCUGAAAGAACUGGGUCUGGCCGGCCCUGACCGAAAUAAGAAUAUAGACCUACGUGGACUGACUCCCACGCAGGCAGGCAGAUCGCAUAUAUUUUAGAUGUGCAAAUCUCGAAUAACGAACCUGUCACUAUAUACAAGUAUAGUGUCUUCUCAAAUAAACCAAAUAAGGGAGUUCAUGAAGAUCUCCUCGUUAGAUUCAUUCCUUGCAACUUUCAAGUCCUUGUUCUACCACCAGAUAUCCACUCGUUUCUCUUUUAUUCAACUACUAUCAUCUAUAAGAUUUGAAUUCAUCACGUCCUCUAAUAUAAAGUGGAAACUGAAUUUCGCUAGCCUAAAUUUGAUCUGCAAAACCCAAUUAGUUGGAAGUAAGUAUUAAUUAUUCACAAAUUUUAUACACAUGCUGAAGUGAAAAGAGAAUGGUGACAAAAAUGACUAAUGGUGCGACUCAGAUUCUAUAGUUCGAGUAUCACAGUGAUUAAGCUUUGAUACAGUUCACGGAUCAUUACUACAUUCAAACAUGAAAAGACCAAGUAGGUCACAAGGAUUCUUGAUUAAGGUAAGUAAUUAGCAGAGAAUGAGAGGAGGAGACAGUUUUAAAUUGGAUCAUGGUUCCAACCAAGCAUGCAAAUUAACUCAGAAAAUUUACUGGGUCGCAACAGCGACUAAUUCAAAUACUAAUCAGAAGCACAUAUUUUAAUCAGAAGCGCCAAUUUUUGUUUUUGCCAUUUAUGUCAAUUAGAUGCUUGGGAAUCAUGGUGGGGUUUUGUUUCUGAACAAAAUUGAAUAUGGGGUUAGAAGAGAUGAGAGAAUUUGUAGACCGCAAACGUGAGUUAGGCUAGUUGAUUAGGGCGGUCCACCCACCGAGCACGAAUUUCGAAUCGCCCUUGCCUAUUGGACUAGUUUUAGAUAUUCUUUUUUCUUGUAAAAAAAAAAAAAAAAAAAGGACUGAAAAAAAAAAAAAGGACUGAAAUUUUGAGAGCAAUACUAGCAUUUUUAGCUCUUUAUUGCUUUAAGAAGAUGGAACAAAAUGAAACCAUUCUUGUAAGUUAGAUGCCCAUUUGGUGCAAGGAUCUGUAAUCAAGUAGCAUAUGGCUGGAUGAGGGACCAGAUAGGCUGGAUUCCAUACUCCUAAGUAAUGCAUCUGUUUUUUUGCUUCUUACUAUUAGGUUUCGUUCGGGGCGGCUUAAGUAGGAAGCAAUUAUGUUCAUAAGUGCUUUUGUAGAAGUAUAUUUUUAUUUUAAAAAAUUGAAUUUUUAUGGAAGUGCUUCUUGAAGAAACAUCUAACAGUUACUUCUCCAUAAGGGCUUCUACGACCUAGAAACACUUCAAUAUUUUUGUAAAAUACAGUUGGAAGUGUUUUUGGUUGUUAGAACAUGCUUAUUGCCCUUUAAAAAGCAGUCUCAAACAUACCUCAAUCUUUCAGAAUACUUAUCAAAAACUAAAAAUUGGAAUGUACAUUUAUAAACAGCUUAUUUUGAAUUUUGAUUGAUAGAAAAAUAAGAUUUGGCAAUAUCAAUAUGACAUUUUUGAAAAAACGGGUUGAGGGUGGAAACAAAAAGAUAGUUUUUGACAUUUUUGCUUUGUCUCCUUACUGGAUGGAAUGUUUUCCGUAUUGCAUCGAUGAGUGGAAUGUAUGUUUUGGUGUUUAGAUGAUGGUCCAGGCUCACUUCGUGAAGGAUGCCGAAAACAAUAACCACUCUGGAUUGUCUUUGAGGUUUCUGGCACCAUUCACCUUUCAUCUUACUUGAGCGUGUCGUCUUAUAAGACAAUUGAUGGACGAGGUCAAAGGAUAAAGCUCACGGGAAAGGGACUUAGGCUGAAGGAAUGUGAGCAUAUAAUUGUAUGCAACCUCGAGUUUGAAGGUGGUAGAGGACAUGAUGUUGAUGGCAUUCAGAUUAAACCGAACUCUAGGCACAUAUGGAUAGACCGAUGCAGCCUUCGUGAUUAUGAUGAUGGACUCAUAGAUAUCACCAGACAAAGUACAGACAUAACUAUCUCUAGGUGGGUUUAAACUUAUGCCCUAUAAUACGAUAUAAAUUUGGAUACUGAUAUAACCUAUCUGAUAGUUUCUCCUUCCCUUUGAACCAGAUGUUACUUUGCACAACAUGACAAGACGAUGCUUAUUGGAGCGGACCCCUCGCACGUUGGUGACAGAUGCAUUCGGGUGACAAUCCAUCAUUGUUUUUUUGAUGGAACAAGGCAAAGACAACCUCGUCUUAGAUUUGGGAAAGUUCAUCUUUACUACAAUUACACUCGAAACUGGGGUAUAUAUGCCGUUUGCGCCAGCGUAGAAUCCCAGGUUAAUGAAACUUCGUAACUAUCUCCUUGAUCUUUAGAAUCUAUCUGAACUGCAUUAUCUAAUUAAGUUGUUUAUAUCAGAUAUACUCUCAAUGCAACAUUUAUGAAGCAGGGAAUAAGAAAAAAACCAUUGAAUAUUAUACAGAAAAGGUGUUAGUGUUUUUGACAAUGGAAGAAGGAGGAAUGCACUAAGAAUGUAAAUGGCUGCUAUUUAUUAACAGAGAGGAAGAAAAGAAUAGCUUGUGAAAAACUAGAGAAAAGAAGAAGCUAAAGAGAAUGAUGAACUCUUCAAUAUAUGUUUUGGGAGAUGAAAAGAUCAACCCAAAUGCCUUACACAUUUCGUUUAUGUAGAGAAAACUAAUAGUUACAAAAGUACAAUACUACCCUUCUCAUAUUCUUUAUCUUUCUAACAACCCAAUCCUACUUAACAAACUUACAACUGUAUAACCGACUAUUUCAACUGUAUAACCAACUAACCAACUACUAUGGUUAUUACUCCCCCCUCAAACUAAGCAUGGGGCAAUCGAGCUUAGUUUGCUGCACAAUUGGUGACAAUCCCAAACCAAGAAACCGGCAAUGCUUCAAGAAAACAGGACUAUGUAAUCCCUUGGUGAAUACAUCAGCAACCUGAUCAUCUGUUGGAAUAUAAUGAACACUGAUGUCACCUUUUUGUACCUUUUCUCGAACAAAAUGGUAAUCUGUAUCAAGGUGUUUGAUCUUAGAAUGAAACACCGGAUUAGAACUUAAGGCAAGGGCUGACAGAUUAUCACAGUGAAGAGCAGGAGGACUAGGAAGAAACUGAUGAAUAUCUUUGAACACAGAUCGAAUCCAUGACACAUCAGCUGCACAGUGUGCCAAAGCUUUGUACUCAGCUUCAGUAGAACUUCUGGAUACUGUAGAUUGCUUCUUGGAUUGCCAGGAAACAGGAUUAGAGCCAAUAUAAACCAGAAAACCUGAAAUUGAUCUUCUAGUAGUAAUAUCUGCAGCCCAAUCAGAGUCUGAAUAGGCAGUGAUGUGGAAAUUGUCACUUUUAGUAUAGCAUAAACCAUAGCUGAUGGUUCCCUGAAUAUAUCGAAGGAUUCUUUUGACCAGAUGAAAAUGUGCAUCAGUUGGUGCUGUCAUAAAUUGACACACCAUAUUCACUGAAUAAGCAAGAUCAGGCCUUGUAAAAGUCAAAUACUGAAGGGCACCAUCAAUACUUCGAUAUUGACUUGGAUCAGAUAACAAUGUACCUUCACCAGCAAGAAUCUAUGUGUGUGGCUUGGAAGCAGUAGACGUGGGCUUACAGGACUCCAUGCCUGCCUUUUUCAACAAGUCUGCUGCAUACUUGGAUUGGUUAAUAAACAGAGACCCAUCAUCAUUGUAAUGAAUAUGCAAACCCAAGAAAUAGCUCAAUCGGCCCAUAUCUUUAAGAUCAAACACUUCUGCCAAGUUGUCGAUUAUGCCUUGUACCUUUAUGGAAUUGGAACCAGUAAGGAUGAUAUCAUCCACAUACAACAGCAACAAAAUAAUAUCUUCAUUAUCAGUCUUGACAAAUAGACUUGAAUCAGAAAGAGAAGGUGUAAACCCAAGGGCUGGAAGAUAGCUUGUAAACUUGGAAUUCCAAGCCCGAGGAGCCUGUUUUAAACCAUAGAGAGAUUUCACUAAUUUGCAAACAUGAGUCGGAUUCUCCUGAUCAACAAAACCUUGGGGUUGCUGCAUAUAAACCUCUUCUUCUAACUCACCAUGUAAAAAUGCAUUUUUUACGUCCAAUUGGCGCAAAGACCAACCAAACUGAGCAGCAAGUGCAAGUAUAAUCCUGACUAUAGUAUGUCUAACAACAGGACUAAAAGUUUCAGAGUAGUCAAGACCAUGUUCCUGUGUAAAUCCCUGGGCAACCAAUCGGGCCUUGAAUCUGGAAAUAGACCCAUCUGGAUUCUUCUUGAUCUUAUAAACCCACUUACUACCAACUAUCAUUCGAUGUGAUGGAAGUGGAACUAAAAUCCAAGUCCCCUGAGCUUUGAGAGCGUCAAAUUCCUCCUGCAUGGUAGUCUGCCAUUCUUUCUUACUGGCAGCACCUUUGAACGUUUUUGGUUCUUCAUGAUCAGAGACAUGAGCCAGAAAUGAGAAACCAGCUUGAUAUGGAUGUAAACAUUGAUUAUCAGAAUUACAAUCCAGUAGUUGUAAAGAAAACAACUCAUGUAGGAAGGCCAGAUAGUUAGAAUAACUUUGCCUCGUGAUUGUACCUGUUUGUAACCGAGUCUGCAUCCCAUGGGAACGUAUCGGAACAUUAUCUGAUGCACUAGAUGAAGAGAAAGCAUCAAAAGGUAGAACUACCUGUAACUGUGCAGGAUUAACGACAGGAAGCAAGGGAAGUGUAUCAGUGUGAAAGGAAAUAGUAAAGCCUGUUGUUGAUGCCGAUUCAAUUGCCUGAGAAUCUGAGACAACGGCAGUAUCAUUGUGUGAGAUAGAUGGAGACUGAUGUCGACUUACAUUGACCUCAGCUGAACUAGAAUCUUGUGCAAGCACUUAAGACUCAUGAAUUGGACUAUUGACAUGCUCUCUGUGAUAUAAAGAAACUGGUAUAAUCACUGGUGUACAUCUCUGGGAAUCAUGACUUUGGACCCCAACUGACUGAACUGCCUUAGGUAAUUUCCCAGGAAAACAUGAUUCAUCAAACACAACAUGUCAAGAUAUAAUACACUUCCGAGAAUAGCCCAAAAAUAUACACAUAGCAGAUCUGGCUUGCAAUUUAUUUGUAGCAUAUGGCCUUAACCAAGGAAACACAGUUGAUCCGAAAAUCUUGAUUGAGUGUACAUCAGGGAUUUUCCUAUAUAGCAUUUGAUACGGAGAGGACAAAGAAAGAAACUUACAUGGCAUUCUGUUAAUCAAGAAGACAGAGUGUGCACAUGCAAAAUACCAAAACUCAGAAGUUAAACCAGCAGCAUUGAGAAGUGUGAUUGCAGUUUCAACUAUAUGGCGAUGUUUCCUUUCUGCCACUCCAUUAUGUUGUGGAGUAUAUGGACAAGAAAUGAAUGGACUUAUACCCUUGCUAGCUAGAAAAUCAGUAAAAGCUUUACUAACAUACUCUAUUCCACCAUCUGUUUGCAAACCUUUAAUGUGCACCCCAAACUUAGUAAGGACAAAAUUAUAAAAUUGCACAAAGAUUUGAAACACAUCUGAUUUAUUACUCAUCGGAAAAAUCCACACAUAUCUGGUAUAUUCAUCAAUUAGAGUUACAUAGUACCUAUAACCUUAUAAGGACUUCACAGGAUAAGGACCCCAAACAUCCGAGUGUAUUUUUUCAAAUGGAGAAGUACAAGUAACUGAUCUAAUUGGAAAUGGAGUUCUAGACAUUUUCCCUUGAAUACAAGACACACAAACACUAGACUUACUAUCUCUAUCAGCCACAAUAUUCGACUUUUGUAACAUACAAUUCAUGAUUUCAGGAGUAGGAUGCCCUAAUCUCUGAUGCCAUGUAUCACAUUUGAUAGCUUUACCCACAUACUCAACUGGACUACUUGUAAUAGACUGUACUCCUCUCUGCCUUUGCACAAUCAGAAUCUGGAACAAUUCUUCAGGCUUACUCUUUCCUUGAUACACUAUUUCCCUUGUCUUCUUGUCCUGCACAAAGAAUUCAGAUUCAUCACAUAUAAACCAGCUCUUAUUGUCAGCACAGAGUUGUUUCACAGAUAAAAGACUUCGCGCAAUAUGUGGAACAUGUAAUACUUUGUUGAGAAUAAGAGAGUGAUUGUUAGUUUGUAAAGUAGUGGACCCAAUAUUUUGGAUUGAUAGAUCAGUACCAUUGCCAAUAGUGAUUUUGUCAGAACCCUCAAAAGGUGUGACAUGAUUCAAGGAAUUAACAUCAGCUGUCAUAUGAUGAGAUGCACCGGAAUCAACAAUCCAGGCAUUUUGAGGAAUAAAUGGCGUGGUUUGUUGAGCAUGCAUUGCAGACAAUGAUGAGGGUGGAAGCUGCCCUUGAUAUGAAUAAUUGCUUAUUUGAUAACAAUCAAGUGCUGAAUGUCCUCUCUUGCCACAGAUUUGGCAUUCAACAACAUAGUUGGAAUUAGUAGCAUUGACGUUCCUCUGAUAACAGUUGGCUGCAGUAUGCCCCCUUUUGUUACAAAUUUGACAUUCUAUCACAGCAUUUGUCCUUGUAGAAGUACUCCCAGACCAAGAAUUAUUACAAUUUUGCCGUGAGUUGCUUGAACCAUAUCAUCGUCCCCUGAAAGUGUUAUUAUUCCUGUAAUUAUUGCCUCUGUAUUGACUCCCAUGUGAUGCUCGAGGCCCAAAUUGGGCUCCCACAUUAAGCUGUGCAGCAUGAUUAUUUGGAUCACUAGGAUGACCAAUAAAACCAUAUCCAUACGACUCACCAGGAUACAUAAGAGAUUGUGAUGGUGGAAGAUAUCCUGCUGGAUAUUGUGAAGGAACAGGAUAAACAGGAUAUUGAAAUGGUGGUAAAGGCAAAGACUGAUGUACUGAAUUUUGUGGACCCUGAGAAGUGGAACCAUAUGGCACCGCAGUAAUUGUUCCCGCAGUACUGGCAGGAAUAUGAUUAUGUGCCUGAGAAUUCGAAGAUGAAGCUGAACUUGAACCAGUGCUUAAACUCGAAACUUGAACAUAUAACGCAGACAAAUUCUGACAAAACAUUAAACUCUCCUUCAAUCUCCCUUUCUGCCCCCAAUAGUUGUGCUCUAAAUUCUUUUAAGGAAAUAGACGACUCUCUGGCCAAAAUAACUGUACGAAUAGUCCCAUAUUCCUUUGGCAAACCAGCAAGACCAGUAAUUAUUUAUGUCAUUGUCAGAUACAGAUUCACCUGCAGCAGUGAGUUGAUCCGUAAUACCUUUCAACUUCAAGAGAUACUUAUCAAUUGUAUCAGACCCUUUUUGAAUGGUAUGUAACUCAGUUUUGAGAUGGUUGACUCUAGACUUAGAAACAGAUGCAUAUCUAUCAACCAAAUUGACCCACGCCUCAUGAGCAGUCCUACAACCAAGAACAUACUCCAUCGCAACAUCAGUUAAAGUGGCAAGAAGUAAACUAAGCAACGCCAUAUCUGUAGACUCCCAAUCCAUAAACGCCUCAGUAAUCUCCUUUGUAACCCCAGCUUCUGGAUUAACCACAUACUUUGAUGGACACAUAGUUGUGCCAUCGAAAUGACCAAACAAUUUAUACCCCCUCAAAACAGACUGAAAUUGAAACGCCAAUUUGGCAAAAUUAUCAUCUUUUAGUUUGAUGGUAAGCAUACCUAGUAUUCCAUCGACUUUAAAAGUUGAACUACCCAUGAUUAUCUUUAAACAAUAACAACUAAUGAUCAAUUGAGAUUAUGCACAGAGACUGACACUUUGAGAAGAAAGGAUAACACCUUCUUGAACACACAAAUUCUUGAUUUAGAAGGAAUGACACCUUCUUGAAUGCAUGAAAGAAUGACACUUCCAGCAAAACAACACUUUCUAAUUAUCGUAGCAAAUCAACAUAUACAAAUCAACAAAAGAACCCAACUCUAUCAAAUCAUUACUCUGCUUAAAUGGAAGAAGCUAAAGAAUCAGAAACCACCUGAACCGAAAAGAAAACCAAUCUUGCUUCAAUCGCACACCAAUAAAGCAACGAACAGCCACCAAACCGAACCCCCAAUGAAGCGACGAACAGCGGAGCACACCAGGAUCACAAUCAGUGACUAAUGCACACCGGCGAUGAUACCAUAUUAACAGAGAGGAAGAAAAGAAUAGCUUGUGAAAAACUAGAGAAAAGAAGAAGCUAAAGAGAAUGAUGAACUCUUAAAUAUAUGUUUUGGGAGAUAAAAAGAUCAACCCAAAUGCCUUACACAUUUCGUUUAUGUAGAGAAAACUAACAGUUACAAAAGUACAAUACUACCCUUCUCAUAUUCUUUAUCUUUCUAACAACCCAAUCCUACUUAACAAACUUACAACUGUAUAACCGACUAUUUCAACUGUAUAACCAACUAACCAACUACUAUGGUUAUUACUAUUCUCUCUGCAAGUCGCAGAGGAACCUUUUUGUAAAAUUAUAUAUAUGUUUCUCUCUCUUUUCACACACAACGUGAAAAGGAAUAAUUCAGUUAACAAAGCCUGGCUGGAUCUUUCCUUCUAGUUAAAAUGAUCACAGCCACUCAUCUAGCAAUAGCUAGGAUCAUCACACAUGGCACUCAUGGCCUUACAUAUUUUGAUCUUAUACUUGGCAAUUUCUAAGCACAAGUGGAUACACAAUUAAAGACAAGAUUAUUCUCAAAUACUAAUCAGCUCAUGGCUUAUAGUUGAACACUCCCCUUUAAGCUUUGAGCUGAUUUGACUCCAAGCAAACCUCUGAGAUAGCUGAAUCGAUCCUUAGCCAAAGGUUUUGUGAAGAUAUCGGCUAACUGCUCUUUUGUAGGACAGUAAACUAGAUCAAUGAUUCCUUAUUGCAGAGCAUCUUUGAUAAAAUGGUAUCUUCGAUCAAUAUGUUUAGUCUUCUGAUGAAACACCGGAUUCUUUGUGAUAGCAAUUGCAGAUGUGUUGUCACACUGCAAUGGAGUGGCUUCAGUUUGAAGUUCCCCAAAAUCUUCCAGUACAAACCUAAGCCAGAUUGCUUGUGCAGUCGCCUCUGAAGCACUAAUAUAUUCUGCCUCAGCAGUUGAAAGUGCUACACAUGUUUGUUUAACUGAUGCCCAAGAGAAAAUCCCACUGCUAAAAGAGAAGGCAUAUCCUGAAGUGCUCUUACUAUCAUCCACUGAUCCUCCCCAGUCACUGUCACAGAAACCAAUCACCAUAGAGUUUGUACCUUUCGCAUACUCCAGACCAUAGUCUAAUGUUCAUUUAAUGUAUCUGAGAACCCUUUUGGCAGUUCUAUAGUGUUUGUUUGUGGGAGAAUGCAUGAACCUGGAAAGUAGACUUGCUGCAUACAUUAUGUCUGGUCUUGUAGCUGUAAGAUACAGUAAACUCCCCACAAUCUUUCUAUAUUGUUCUUCAUUUGUUGGACCACUUCCAUCAUCCUUACUAAGUUUUUUAGCUGAAAUCAGUGGUGUAGACACAGACUUGCAUUCAUUCAACCCAAAUUUAUUCAACAAGGAAGAGGCAUACUUCUUUUGGUGAAUAAAUAUGCUGAAAUUAGUUUGAAUGACUCCCAUUCCUAGAAAAUGGUGAAGUAGACCCAAAUCAAUCAUCUCAUAUUUCAUCAUCAUGUCCUCUUUGAAUUUUUCCAACAUUUCUUUGCUACUACCUGUGUAGACAAUAUCAUCUACAUAGAUAGACACAAUUAUGAUAUCCUUUUCUCCCCUUGACUUGAUGUACAAUGUUGGUUCACUGAGACUCUUUUGAAAACCACACUGGGAGAAGUAUGCAUCAAUUUCUCCAUACCAGGCUCUAGGUGCCUGUUUCAGUCCAUAAAGAGCUUUAUGAAGCCUAUACACUUUAUCUUCCUUGCCUUGCACUGUGAAUCCUUCUGGUUGGUCUACAUAUACUUCUUCCUGUAGUACUCCAUUUAGGAAGGCAGAUUUAACAUCAAGUUGAUACAACCUCCAGCUCUUUUGAGCAGCUAAUGCAAUGAGGGUUCUGAUAGUGUCCAGUCUAGCCACUGGAGCAUAGGUUUCGUUAUAGUCGAAACCAGGUUUCUGAGCAUAACCUUUGGCAACCAACCUUGCCUUAUUCUUCAAGACUGUGCCAUCCAGAUUCAAUUUGGUUUUAUAGACCCAUUUAACCCCAAUAACAGGCUGCAUUGUUGGUCUAUCUACUAAUUCCCAUCUACCAUUCUUUUCAAUCAUGGUCAACUCAUCCUGCAUUGCUCUUAACCAUGAUUCAUCUUGAGCUGCUUCUGCAUAUCUUUCAGGCUCCAUAACACACAGAUUGCAUUGAGCAAAAAUAUCAUCAAGAUUUCUCCAUUUCAGAGGUGUGUGGUCAUAAGCAUCUGAAAGCUUUGCAGAUUUAGGAGUGCAACUUUCUUGUUCUUGUGUAUGAGAAGGAGAACUAGGGUUGAGAGAACUUCCUUCAAUCACACUCAUCUCAUAUGAAUUCACACCAACUACAUUUUCAGGUUGAUCCUGAAUGUAGGUUGCAGCAACUGAACCUUGUGAAUUUUCUUUCCAAUUCCAGGUCAUAGAUUCAUCAAAGACUACAUCUCUUGACAAGAUUAACUUGUUAGUACAUGGAUUAAAUAUUCUGUAUCCCUUCUCACAUGUAGCAUAACCCACAAAUACACCUUUAACACUCUUAGCAUCUAGCUUCUGUCUUGUCUCAGUAGGUACAUGUACAUAGCACAGGGAACCAAAAAUCUUGAGAUGUGCUAUGCCUGGUUUUCUGCCACUAUAAGCUUCAAAAGGAGUUGUAUUUCCAAGUGCCUUUGUAGGACACCUAUUUAGAAUAUAUACAGCUGUGUGUACAGCUUCAGCCCAAAGAACAUAUGGCAUACCUCUAUCAUGAAGCAUAGUUUUUGCCAUUUCAACCACAAUUCGAUUGUUCCUUUCCACCACUCCAUUCUGUUGAGGAGUAUAAGCCAUGGUGAGUUGCCUUUGAAUGCCUUCAAUUUCACAGAACUUAGUGAACUCAGAAGAUAAGAAUUCUCCACCUCUGUCACUCCUUAGACUUUUAACUUUGAAACCACUCUGCAGUUCCACCAUUGACUUGAACCUUUUGAAAUAAUUGAAUGCAUCAGAUUUGUAUCUGAGAAAAUACACCCAAAUCAUUCUUGUACAAUCAUCGAUGAGUAACAUGAAAUAUUUGUUUCUAGCCAAGGAUGCAUUCUGCAUAGGACCACACAAAUCAACAUGAAUAAGUUCCAGGGGAUAGUUUGCUCUCCAGGAUUGUUUCUUUGGAAACCAGUCUCUAUGUUGCUUUCCAAAUUGACAUCCUUGACAUACAUCUUUGAUUUCUUCUAGGUAUGGAAGACCAUGCACCAUAUUUUUCUCACUGAGUUGCUGCAACCCCCUGAAGUUCAAAUGACCUAGUCUUCUGUGCCAAGUCCGAGUAGAGUGAUCUAUGCUCGCUUUCAGAACCAACUGAUUGUCGUGCAACAAAGAAAGAGGAUAGCAACGAUUUUCCUUCUUCUUGACCUUGAUGACAAGAUUGUCAAGUGAAGGUCCAUCAAAUACACUACAUAAACCUCCUCCAAACACUAGAUAAUAUCCAUGCUCAUCCAUUUGACCUACACUCAACAAAUUUUCCUUCAAUCCUAGCAAAUGCAUGACCUCUCUAAUGUACUUCUUCCCUUUAUUAGUAUCAAUUUCCAAUGAGCCCAUUCCAGCAACAUUUACUAACACCCUCGUAGGCAUUUGCACCUUUCCAGCAACAUUUGUUCUUAUAUCAACAAGGAGAUCAGCAUUCCCUGUCAUGUGGUUACUACAACCACUGUCAAUGUACCAAUUUCCAUUGACAUUUUUCUCUGAAAUUGCACUAUUAGCAUAGAACAGAUUCCCUGUCACUUCCACCUGAUUUGCAGAAUUUGCCUUUUGCACAAUCUUCCCUAUAGUGCAUUCUCUAGCCCAAUGACCAAACUUAUCACAGUUAUAACAUUUGGGCUUCCCUUUAUAUCUACAUUCACCAAAAUGGAACUUAGAGCACACUCUACACUGUGGUUUGGUACUCUCUUGACCCAUUAACUGUGUCUGGUAUGAAUUGGAUGCAGGGCUAUUGAGAGGUCUCUGUUGAAAUCGAGACUUUGGAUCCCAUUUCUUUCCCUUGGGAUUCCAAUUCUUCUGAAAUUUUGAUGAACCAGAUUGAGCUCCACUCAUAUUCUGCCCUUGUGGACUCACUGAGAAUGAUGCAAAUGCCUUCUCAGUGGUAUCAACAUUAUGUAGAUCAAACCGUUGUUCUUGAUUCUUCAAGAUUGCAACAACUUCCUGCAAUUCUACAGUCUCUAGACACUUUGUAUUUUCUAUAACCAAACAGAUCGAAUCAUAAGGUUUACUUAGGCUUAUUAGAACAUUCUGCACAAGUCUCUCAUUAGAAAGAGAUUCACCAAAUGUUCUCAUCUGAUUAAUUAAGUCAUUCAGCCUUGUGAGAUAACUAGACAAGGAUUCAUCAUCUCGCAUUCUAGCAUACUCAAAUUCUCUUCUAAGAUUUUGAAGUUUUACAGAUCUAACCUGAUUACCACCAUGGUAUUCACCGUACAGUAGAUCCCAUGCCAUCUUGGCUGAGUCAGCGUUUGCAAUCCGAGGAAAGAUCUGAUCAGAGACUGCGUUUUGUAUAAUUCCCAGAGCCUUUGCAUCUCUCAUUAGCACUGCCAUCAUUUCUUCAUCACGAUCGUCUUCCGAUGACCCUUCAGCUUCCUUCUUCUUCUUCUUUGAAUCAGGUGUUGGCAAUCCCUUUUCUACCAGAUUCCAUAACCCAAUGGAUUUGAAGAUUGUUACCAUUUUAAUUCUCCAGAACUCGUAUUUCUCACCGUAGAAGAUUGGAGUUCUCACCUCCGAGCCUCCAGAUCCAGACAUCUUGCAAGCCUUUCGUGAGCUUCGAUUGAGCUCAGUGACCUCACAGAUUUACGCCCAGAUUUUAAAUGGCGCAACCUGGCUCUGAGGCCAUGUUAGUGUUUUUGACAAUGGAAGAAGGAGGAAUGCACUAAGAAUGUAAAUGGCUGCUAUUCUCUCUGCAAGUCGCAGAGGAACCUUUUUGUAAAAUUAUAUAUAUGUUUCUCUCUCUUUUCACACACAACGUGAAAAGGAAUAAUUCAGUUAACAAAGCUUGGCUGGAUCUUUCCUUCUAGUUAAAAUGAUCACAGCCACUCAUCUAGCAAUAGCUAGGAUCAUCGCACAUGACACUCAUGGCCUUACAUAUUUUGAUCUUACACUUGGCAAUUUCUAAGCACAAGUGGAUACACAAUUAAAGACAAGAUUAUUCUCAAAUACUAAUCAGCUCAUGGCUUAUAGUUCAACAAAAGGUACAUGACCAUCUCUCGCUCAUUUUUUUGAUAGUUUGAUAUGAACAAGAAGAACGUAGGUUCAUUAUAUCCACAGUAGCAUUCUAUUCUGAGGCAGGGUACAGUGACAAAAAAGUCACAUGAAACUUUUUAAUUUCAUACCGUCUGGUAUUUAUUUACACUGAAAGGAAUAUAAGCUAUUUGUACAACUUACAUCCCGUUUCUGAGUAGACAUUCUUUUUCAAAUGUAUAUAAUCUUCCAAUAGGCAGCAGACAGAGAAGUGGCAAAGUCCGGCUUCAUAAUAUCCGAGGGCGAUCUAUUCCUCAAUGGAGCUCAACCAUGCACAUUGACAGGGUUCAGUGAAGAAUGCCUGUUCCAUCCAAGUGAAUUUUAUCCACAGUGGACUAUGGAAGCAGCCUCAGAUUCUCUUAAAGCCAUUCUCCAAAUUCUUACUGGCUGGCAAUCCAUUCAUCGGCCAGCAGAGCAGGCGGUAACUGUAUGAUUUUAUGUUAUCACUACAUCUGUAACAGGAUUUUUUAGGUUCUAUAACAGAAUAGUCUUUGAUUAUAUUUUUAAUAAACUCUAGCAGAUUUGCUAUCUGCUGUUGUAAUACUUACGAGUUUGUCAAUUUGACUUAUUAAACCCUGACAAAAGUCAUUCUGUCGUAGCUUAAAGACAGAACCUAUCAAUUAUGAUAAGCACUCCAUAACACACAUGCCAUGUUUGUUCUCAUGUAUGUAUGUAUGGAUCCUGUAGAUAAAGAUGUAUUAUUUCACGUUAAACGUGCAUAGAGAAAAGAAUUCAACUAGAUUGGCCGGCUCAGGCGCAGUUGAGUUUAUUUGAUAUGGGAUUUAACACCUUUAUAUUUUGCAAUUGUUUGACUUUGUGUUAACAUGACCUAAUCAGUUUUAUUUUUAUAUUUUCUAUUUGGAAAUGUUAAGCAUUCAAACAUAUACAUCUUUAUAUAUGAUCAUUUGGUUUGAAUUUAAAAUUUUCAUAAACUUCCAAAUUGAUCUGAAGGGACGUGGUGGGAAAUAAUGAAUCUGAAGGGAUAUAAAUGCAAAUGAUGUCAUUUAUUUCUUUCAUAAUUGACUAGAUGGUUCUCUAUAUCUUGGUUAUAGAAAUAACUUAAAGCUUGAGAAAAUUGGCAGUUCUUAUUCUCUCUGUGUUACCUGUAUUAGUUAUCAAAAUGGUGUAAGUUCUAUUUGAGAGCAAACACUUUAUGAUUUGUACAAAGACUUUUGGGACGACAAGGAGAUUAACAUUAGCACAUGCGGUAGACUUUUAAGGAGUUGUAUUACUUAGGUAUACAAGUCAGAAACAUUCUUAGAUAAACUAGAACUCUUCUAGCUGAUUUAUGCAUAACUAAUCUUCGGUGAUAAGGUUAAUCUUUGAUAGGGUUUACUUAAUGGGAGGACUCCUAAUCAAAGACCAUCACAUAUAGUAUAACUGAGGUCCCUGUGCUCUCACUAAACACACGCAAGUUUACAAAAAUUCUCAAGCCCCAUUGAGUGAGUCUUGCUUCCGUUCAGUGCAGAGUUACAGAAGAGCCUCAGUUCCUUACCCUAUUUCUGAGACGAUGUCUUCCUCAGGUUAGUGGUUAGAUCGGUAUAUGAGUCAGUCUUUAUAUAUAUAUAUAUAUAUAUAUAUAUAUAUAACUAAUAAAGCUUUACUUACAUUUGGUAUCAAAGCCCUCACAUAUCAUCUGACCCUAUGUGAAAGGCAUCAAGAAAUUUCAUUCUGUCUCGCAGGUUAUGGAACUGGAACUGUAUCAUCAAGGAAAAAUAUAUAAAACACGUUCAAGGAUAACUAAAGUUAUCCUUGAUCAUAAGGAUAUUAUGUUUUUCAAUCGAUACAUGUACCAGUGAUGGUGCUUAAAAUUCAAGACAUGAUUAUUGAUCAUCUAAAGAUGAUUUUUCUUUCAUGCUUCGAAUUUGAGCAGCGUAUCAUUAUAUAUAUAUAUAUAUAUUUGAAUCAAAUUAAUAUUGUCAAACCACAAAGGCUUGUGAUUUUAAUUACAGAAAUUCGAAUGUUGACUAUAAAAGUGAUAUGAUUAAAGAAAGUUUUCACAUAUUCAUCAAUCUAAAGAUGUUGAAGAUGUGAUUUAUGGUUUGGGGUUAAAGAUUAAUACUCUUUACAUCAUGAACGUUUUCUUUUCAGUGAAUCCCAACUCUUUGAAUCUCAAUACAGUUGAGCCUCUUACUGGUGUCAACUAUAGAAAGUGGAAACAAGAUCUCGAAAUCGUUUUGGGAGUUAUGGACUGGGAUUUGGCACUGAGAACUGAAGAGCCUCCGGCACUCACUGAUGACAACACCUCCAAUCAGAAAUCCAAGUAUGAAAAAUGGCACAAAUCCAACAGAAUUGCCCUAUUGAUCAUCAAAAGGAGCAUGACAGAUGUGGUGAGAGGUGGCUUUCCUGAUGAAACAAAUGCAAAAGAUUUUCUGAAGUCCAUUGAGGCAAAGUAUAGGGAAUCGCCAAAAACUGAGACAGGUAAUCUCAUGAAUGCUCUCACUACUAUGAGAUAUGAUGGGGUUCAAAGUGUGCGAGAAUACAUAUUGAAGAUGGUGGACGUUGCUGGAAAACUCAAUGCACUUGAGGUACCGAUUUCUGAUACUUUUCUGGUACAUGUCAUUAUGAAUUCUCUGCCUGAGAGUUAUACACAACUCAAAGUUUAUUAUAAUGGUCUACGUGAGAAAUGGGAUGUGAAUGAAUUGAUAGCUAUUUGUGUGAGUGAAGAAGAAAGGAUGAAGAAAGAAAGGUUUAAGAAAGAGAGAAUUGAGUCUGUGAAUUUUGUCCAAAGUGUCACUAGGGCCACUAAAUCUCAUAUCCCUAAUACUGCCAAAAAGGACUCUACCAAGUCAGUUCCCUCUCCUAAAAGAAACUUCAAACUUAAUAAACCUUCAAUUUUCAAGUGCUAUUUUUGCAAAAAGGCAGGCCACAUGAAGAAAAACUGUCCCAAAUAUAAGGCUUGGCUUGCCAAACAAGAAGCAAAGAAAGGUAAAAAUGUUUUUGCUUGUUUUGAAUCAAAUUUAAUUAACAUACCUAGCACCGAAUGGUGGCUUGACUCGGGCUCUUCUAUACAUGUUACAAAUUCAUUACAGGACUUCACAACAAGGAGAACACCAAAUAAAGAUGAAGUCAAAGUUUCGGUUGUCAUGGAAGAAGAGUUGAAGUCAAAGCCUUAAGAAGUGUUAGACUAAAGCUAGAAUUUGGUUUUUAUUUAGAGUUAGAUAACGUUGUUUAUGUGCCUUCCAUGAAAAGGAAGUUGAUUUCUAUUUCAAAGCUAGUGUUAUUGGGUUUUUAUUUUACUAUUAAUAAAAGGGGCUUUAACGUUUUUUAUGAGUCUUCUCAAGUAGGACAUGGUUUCAUGAGUGAUGGUAUGUUUCAACUUAAAUUGAAUCAAACUGAAUAUGUUUUCAACGUACAAGAUGAUAAAAUCAAAACUCAACAGUCUUCAAUAUUAUGGCAUAAGAGACUCGGCCAUAUUUCUAAACAAAGAAUGGAGCUGCUUGUCAAAAACGAAAUUCUACCUCCAUUAAACUUCAAUGACUUUGAUUUUUGUGUGGAUUGCAUUAAAGGGAAAAUGACAAACACUAGAAAAGAAGGCUCAACUAGGAGUAAGCAACCCUUAGAGAUCAUUCACACGGACAUUUGUGGUCCUUUUCCCACACAAACCUUAGAAGGAAACAAAUAUUUCAUAACUUAUAUUGAUGAUUUCUCAAGAUUUUGCUUCAUUUAUUUGAUUUCAGAAAAGUCUAAAGCACUUGAAACUUUAAAAUUUAUAAAAGUGAAGUUGAAAAUCAAUUGGAAAGGAACAUUAAGGUUGUAAGGUCUGAUAGGGGAGGGGAGUACUAUGGUAGAUAUACUGAAAUUGGUAGAAAUCCUGGACCCUUUGCGUCAUUUCUGCAAGAACAUGGAAUUGUAGCCCAAUAUACCACACCAGGUACUCCGGAGCAAAACGGAGUAGCCGAAAUGAGGAAUAGAACUCUUAUGGACAUGGUAAGGAGCAUGAUUUGUAGAACUAAUCUGCCAAGUUGUUUGUGGGGUGAAGCAGUGAAAACUGCAAAUUAUAUAUUAAAUAAGGUACCUUCAAAAUCUGUGGAAGGGACACCUUUCGAACUAUGGACAGGCAGAAAACCGAGUUUAAACCAUUUGCAUGUAUGGGGCUGUAGAGCAGGCAAAGAUAUAUAAUCCCGGCUACAAGAAACUUGAUUCAAAGACUGUCAGUUGUCAUUUUAUUGGAUAUGCUGAAAGAUCGAAGGGUUUUAGAUUCUAUUGCCCUAACCAAAAUACAAGAAUUGUCGAAACUGGAAAAGCAGUUUUCAUGGAGUCUGAUGCAAGCGUUGAUUCUGGGACAAGGGUUGAAGGGUUCGUAUUUGAAGAAGAAAUUAACAAUAAAGAAGCUGCAGUUGAAAAUGUUGAUCGUAACACAACGAUUAUGGCACCAAUAAUUGUAGUAACCGAGAACAUGGGAAGCAAUGAUUCUGAUGAACCAUGUAACGAGAUAGAGGUUGCACAUGACAUCGAACUGCACGAUAACACUGUCGUACAAGAUGUGUUUGAAGAGGCUAUGACAGAAAAUCAACAACAACAACACCAUGCACAUGAAGACAACAUCACGGAUGUGGGUGCUGCAAAUAUAAGAAGGUCAUCUAGGGUUAGAAAACCUACAACCCUAGAUGAUUUUGUAUAUUUGACACAGGUUGACACUGAUCUUUCAGAGUUUAAUGAUCCACUGAGUUACAAAGAAGCAAUUGCAGGACCAGAUGCUGGUAAAUGGAUAGAAGCCAUGAAGAGUGAACUGAGUUCGAUGGCAAACAAUCAAGUGUGGGAUUUAGUGGAACAGGCAGAAGGAUCAAACCCAUAGGAUGUAAAUGGGUUUUUAAAACAAAAAGGGAUUCAAAUGGAAACAUAGAAAGGCACAAAGCCAGGCUCGUUGCGAAAGGCUUCACACAAAAGGAGGGUGUAGACUACAAAGAAACAUUCAGCCCCGUGUCGACAAAUGAUGCGUUUAGGGUUAUCAUGUCUAUGGUGGCUCACUUUGAUUUGAUUUUACAUCAAAUGGAUGUAAAAACGGCGUUCUUGAAUGGGGACCUUGAAGAGUGCAUUUACAUGCGACAACCAGAAGGUUUCAAGGAAGAAGAAGGAAGAAACCUAGUGUGCAAACUCAACAAAUCCAUAUAUGGAUUGAAGCAAGCAUCACGGCAGUGGUACUUGAAAUUUCAUAGAAUUGUGAAAGAACAUGGCUUCACUGAGAAUCCUUCAGACAAUUGCAUCUAUCAGAGGUUCAGUGGGAGCAACUUUAUCAUCCUAGUUCUCUAUGUGGAUGAUAUACUGCUUGCCACGAAUUGUCACAGUUUAUUGGAUGAUACAAAAACUUUUUUGCAUAAGCAUUUUGAAAUGAAGGACAUGGGAGAAGCGACUUAUGUUUUGGGCAUUGAGAUCAAAAGGGAUAGAAAGAGAGGCUAGCUAGGAUUGUCACAGAAAGCAUAUAGAGAAAAUGUUAAGAAGGUUUAACAUUUCUUUGUGUGGAACUACCGAGAUGCCUAUAUCGAAGGGUGAUAAAUUGAGUAAGCUACAGUGUCCACAAACAGACUUAGAGAGGAAGGCUAUGGACGACAAACCAUACGCCUCCGUGGUGGGAAGUUUAAUGUAUGCAUAGGUGUGCACAAGGCCUGACUUGGCUUUCACCAUUUCUGUGCUUGGGAGGUUUAAGUCCAAUGCAGGUGAAGCUCACUGGAAUGCUGCCAAAAGGGUUUUGAGAUACCUUCAGAGACCCAAGGAUCAUAUGUUGGUGUAUAAAAGAACCGAGAGUUUGGUUUUGGAAGGGUAUAGUGAUUCAGAUUUUGCAGGUUGUCCAGAUGAUAUGAAGUCGACUACAAGUUAUGUUUUCUUAAUGGCAUGUGGUGCGGUUUCCUGGAAGUCUGUCAAACAAGGAACUAUGGCAGCAUCAACAAUGGUUGCAGAGUAUUUAUCAGUCUGUGAAACAGUGAAUCAAGCUAUCUGGUUGAAGAAUUUCAUACUUGGGCUUCAAGUAGUGGACUCUAUAUCGAGACCUAUACAGAUUUUCUGUGAUAAUAAUGCAGCCAUAUUCUUUACUAAGAAUAAUAAGAGGUCUAAUGCAACAAGGAAUUUCGAUAUAAAAUAUCUCAUUGCUCGAGAGAAGGUGAUGGCCGGUCUAGUUAAAGUUGAUUAUUUGGAGACUGGAUCCAUGAUUGCUGAUCCGUUAAAUAAAGCAGUUCCCACCAUUGUUUUCAAGAAGCAUGUCACUAGCAUGGGAGUCUUGGCUGGUUUUGAUGAAGCGAAUUAGUGGGAGCUAUGCAACAGGUUUAAACUUUUAUGCUAGUUUUAAUUUAAUAGCAAUUUAUGUUAUGGAGGAUAAGUUUUGAGUAUUAACAAUGAAGUUUUCUUAGCUAAUAAAGAAUAAAGCUGAAAGGUUGUUCAAGUUCCCUUAAAGAGUUUAGAUGUUAGCUAUGAUAAUGCAUGAAUAUUUUUGCAUGCUGUUUAUGAUUCUUAUUCAUUAUACAGUGUCAGACAACUUGAGGGCUUUAUAUAGAAGCACAUGGAUCGUUUUUCCAUUCUGAAAGGGACCAAAUGUUUGACAUAAUUAAUACAUGUUUGGUUGUGUCUUACAUGCUAUAUAUCUUGUUGCAAUCUUAUGUGUUGAUAAGCUUUACUAAAAGUAAUUAUGGGGACGGUACUCUUCAGUGUAAUGAGUGUGUUGCCCUAUAAUUCUCAUAAAUGCUUAACAAUGACGAAGACUGGAAAACUAAGAAGUGUCGAAAGUUAAUCUCAUGGCCAAUUCAGAUCCUUCCCAACUCCAGUAUGAUUAUACAACUUUACAAAGUAUUUGCUCUAGUGGGAGAAUGUAAGUUCUAUUUGAGAGCAAACACUUUGUGAUUUGUACAAAGACUUUUGGGACGACAAGGAGAUUAACAUUAGCACAUGCGGUAGACUUUUAAGGAGUUGUGUUACUUAGGUAUACAAGUCAGAAACAUUCUUAGAUAAACUAGAACUCUUCUAGCUGAUUUAUGCAUAAGUAAUCUUCGGUGAUAAGGUUAAUCUUUGAUAGGGUUUACUUAAUGGGAGGACUCCUAAUCAAAGCCCAUCACAUAUACUAUAUAACUGAGGUCCCUGUGCUCUCACUAAACACACGCAAGUUUACAGAAAUUCUCAAGCCCCAUUGAGUGAGUCUUGCUUCCGGUCAGUGCAGAGUUACAGAAGAGCCUCAGUUCCUUACCCUAUUUCUGAGACGAUGUCUUCCUCAGGUUAGUGGUUAGAUCGGUAUAUGAGUCAGUCUUUAUGUAUAUAUAACUAAUAAAGCUUUACUUACAAAUGGUACAGUUUGUAUUGUAAUAGAAUUGCAUCUAGAUGCGGAGGCAUCGUUGUGAAGCCAACAGUGACGAUGAAGUUGUGGAACUAACUGAGGUGGAAGUCCUGAGGAACAAAUCCGACAAGUAAUUCCCCAAGUCAUCUGGUGAAUAUCUUACCAACAACUCCAAAUUUUUCUCCCCACUUUGCAUUACCAUGUAUGUGUCAUAAAAUUCUUGAUAUCUUGGUACCAGUUUCUGCUCAAUUGAAACCUUUAAGUCAUCCCUCAAUUUCCUGUCCUCUACAAUCCAUGAUGUCUGUUUCCUAUAUGCCUCUUCAAACGCUGCGUUGAACCUUUUAAAGCAUUCCCUUGCCAUUUCCGGAGAUGUUUCUGAUGACUUCUCUGGUAAUGAUGAUAACACCUUUGUCCAGGCUGUGGAUUCGUAGUUUGAAGCGUACAGUUUAACCUUCUUCGUGUGUUCAGUGACCCAAUCUUCACCGAGGAGGAGUUUCAGGUUCGGUGUUUGCUGCACCUUCUCAACAAUGAAUUGAAGAUUGUUGACAAGGAAGAGAUAUGACAGAGACGCAUCUUUAUAAAUUUCAGCUUUCGUGUCGAGCUUGCACAUAAGGACUAGAAUGAGCCAAGCUAGGUGGACUGACACUGCUGGUGUUGAACCGUCAUCUGCCAUUGGGCUCUUGAAGUGAGAUACUUGAUUCUUCGGUGGUGGAUAGUCAGCAAGGAUAUCCGAGAGAGCUCCAUGGUGGUCUGCUAAUGAAGAUACUAAAUUCAUCACUGAUUGUGUCAACGGGUGAAUCCUGCCACCAGAGGCUAGAAAUUUUGAUGAAUCCUUUUGAAUGGUUGAUUCAAAGACAGAAAGACUAGACUGGACAGAAUCUGAAAGUUUGAGCCACGAUGCGAGAGCUUGUAGUUUUAUUGCUUGGGUUGAUGCAGAGGUAAAUAUUGAUUCAAUCUCUGGCCAAAGAUUGGAGAAUACUUCGUAGAGUUCCAGUUGCCAGAAAAUUCUUUCCCGGCACUUCUUGUUCUUCACUAUGAGUUCCGGAAAUCUGAAUAGGGUGGUUGCUCCUCCUUUUGUUAUCUCAUAGAAGCAUGAGUCUGCGAUUGUCUCGGAUGCUGAAAACACAUGAUCACAGAGAACUUUUUCUCCAUGAAAUAGUGCUUUCACAGCAAUCUUCGCAGCAUCCAUCCAGUUCAUGAUUAUGUUUUCUAGUCCUUCCGAAUCCAUUUUAUGGAUUUGGGAAGACUUGAACUGUUGGAUUCCAAGGCGAUACAAUCCCUCAUCUACUAUUGACUUUCGGAUAACUUUGUAUAUCUUCACACACUCAUGACCAUAGCCGGAACUGAUCAUACAAUCCGCUAUGGAUUUCAGAUCCGCCAUGGCGAGAGCCGAGACCCUCUCCACCUCAGUGAUCGACCCACCAACAAUUUCCAACUCUUCUGAUCCACCCUCGUCUUCACCAUUAAAUGUGCAUGAUCGGAUUGAGGUUCGACUUGAAACUGAUUCAGGGUCAAGGUGACGCCGGUUUGCAGACAAUAUCUCAUAAAACUCCCUUUCAAGCCUUUUCAUAGCUGUUUGCAUUAGGUUUUGAGCAAGCACGAGCUUGCUGGAUGGAGAGCUUUCAUGAACCAAAACAUGCAUAGCACUACGCAAGUCCUUU